CGCCGUCGGGGGCCCCUGGAGCGCCCGCGCCGUCCUGGAGCGCCUGGUCGAGUUCAACACCUGGGUCAGCGAC
rnacentral:tRNA from 1 species